UUUUUCUAGGACGAGCUUGCUGUGGCUGGUUUUCGUGAGGCAAACUUGGCUGUUCUUGUCAUUGGAGGAGCUCAGGUUCUCACUGUCACUGGGAAUGGCUGCUGUUCUCAUCAGCGGAGGUAUGGUCUUCUCCUUGAGCAUUGCUUCCUGGCUCUAGUGCAGAUCCCUCAGCCUAGUGGCACAAAUCCUUUACUCCACCAGCACAGGCUUUCUAGCUUCCACCACUUGCCUUUGGGCCUUCCUGGUGCAGAUCCUUACUACGGACUUGCAUGAGACACUGCCGUGGGCUCUAGGCCUCUGUCAGGACAUUGCCUUGGACUCCCGGCCUUCAGCUGGACUUGUGUGGGGCAUAGCUGUGGGAUCCAGGCCCUCGGCUGGAUUCUUUGGGGCUCUAAUGCACAGAUAGAUCUCUUGCACUCUUCUGCAUUUGACAUUUUGGGAAGACCAGGAGAAGGCGCCAUGUGCCCUUUUGGACUGCUGAGUCCUAGUGGUCACUAGAGGGCGCAUGCUCUCACCUUUCUUGAGCUGAUGUAGCCCCAGAGGGUGCCAGAGGCCAGAGGCCAUGCAGGACAGUGGCCCACAUCUCACCCUCCGGACCGACCUCCUGGAGGUGCCUAUGCCUGCUGUGUAACUUUCCUUGUUCUGACCAGCUACUGCAGCUAAAAAAAAAAUCCCAG
rnacentral:lncRNA from 1 species